CGCACAGGGCGUCCAUGGGGUCGAGGCGCCUUGGCGACGAAGGAAGAGCUUGCGUGCCCAAUCAGGAAGGCUGCCUCUUCCCCACAAGUUGCCAGAGACAACCGGGAGACACCCACGCACUGUGAACAGGGUCCUAGAAGCCAACUCGCCAUCCCUUCUUGGGACCGAAAAGGAAUUCUCCCUGGGCAGCUCUUUGCCUGGCUCAGCUCUCCACACCCCUGCCUGCAAGGUCAGCCUCGUUUCACCCGGGCCAUCCCUUUCCUGGCACUUGUUCUCAAGAGAAGGUGUUUCCUUCCUUGGCUUCUCAGUGGCAGGCGUGGGCGGGAGCCAGCAAGAUAGCACAGAAGUGGUCGGCCACCUCCUGUCUCUCUAGGAAGGCAGGAAGUCACCAGAAGGGAAGUCUCUUCAGCUGUGGGCUCUCAGAACCGAGAUCUGGGCGGGCACAGGAUGGCGGUGG